rnacentral:rRNA from 1 species
GGCGAACGCUGGCGGCGUGCCUAAUACAUGCAAGUUGAGCGCUGAAGGUUGGUACUUGUACCAACUGGAUGAGCAGCGAACGGGUGAGUAACGCGUGGAGAAUCUGCCUUUGAGCGGGGGACAACAUUUGGAAACGAAUGCUAAUACCGCAUAAAAACUUUAAACACAAGUUUUAAGUUUGAAAGAUGCAAUUGCAUCACUCAAAGAUGAUCCCGCGUUGUAUUAGCUAGUUGGUGAGGUAAAGGCUCACCAAGGCGAUGAUACAUAGCCGACCUGAGAGGGUGAUCGGCCACAUUGGGACGGAGACACGGCCCAAACUCCUACGGGAGGGAGCAGUAGGGAAUCUUCGGCAAUGGACGAAAGUCUGACCGAGCAACGCCGCGGGAGUGAAGAAGGUUUUCGGAUCGUAAAACUCUGUUGGUAGAGAAGAACGUUGGUGAGAGUGGAAAGCUCAUCAAGUGACGGUAACUACCCAGAAAGGGACGGCUAACUACGUG